rnacentral:sRNA from 1 species
GAUUAAUAACGACCAGAAAAAGCAGAUUUGUUUGUAGUAACCAUUUUUUUAUUUGAUGUUCUCGUUUGUAGGUAUUGUAUGGAACUGAUUUGUAAAAUCGAGUCUUUGGAAGCGGAUUUUACAAAGGAGUAGAAAUAAAACUUGUAAGAAGUGAUAUAGAUAAUACAUAGUUUCUGGUUGGAAUUUUGAACAACCUAACUAGUCUACUUGGCUCGUUAUUCUCGUUUGAAGAUUGUAAAAUCUUCGGUGUUCUCAUGCCAUGGCUCUAUGUGGGAAAUAUAUUUUUCAUCGUUUUCUUCGGUAAAGUUAUACUCUCAAUAUCAAAUCAUUUUGUAAUUUUGUUGGCUAAUUCUCACCAAAAUAUUUUAUAUUUUGCUAAAAGAGCCACUAUCACUAAGGAUUUACAGCUUGCUAAAAAGU